rnacentral:misc_RNA from 1 species
GAUUGUAAAUCUGCAAAGUUGUAAGACUUGUGACUUAAUCUUAUAUGCAUGUCCAUCUGACAUUAUUAUUUUCUUUAGAGGAUAUUACAUAUGUUUCAUUCUUAGCAUACUUGUUUUCCAUAGGCAAUCCAUAAUUGCAUCCUUGCAAAUAUCUAAUUAGAUGAUGAUAUGUAGUGAAAUGAACAACAAAAAAAAUAAAAAGGAUAACGUAAAUUGUGACUGAGACAACCUUUUAAAAAUUUUUUUGGAUCAGCAGCUUACUAUAUUUUCUGAAAUUUUUUCUAGGUAUGGCAAUGUCAGUUUUGUUGA